GGGGCUUUAACUCAGUGGUAGAGUGCUUCGUUUGCAUACGCAUUUGUGACAGAAUAGCCACCACUAUCUAACCACAUAAUCGUUUAUCUUCGAAGAAGUCAGCGGUUCGAACCCGCUAAGCUCCA